AAAUGAAUAGACGGGAACCCGCACAAGCGGUGGAGUAUGUUGUUUAAUUCGAGGAUACACGAAGAACCUUACCAGGUCUUGACAUACCAUUGCCUAGUUUAGAGAUAGACUGUUUACCUUCGGGUAACAAUGGAUACAGGUGGUGCAUGGUUGUCGUCAGCUCGUGCCGUGAGGUGUUGGGUUAAGUCCCGCAACGAGCGCAACCCCUAUUGAUAGUUGCUAAUAUUAAGUUAAGGACUCUAUUGAGACUGCCAGCGACAAGCUGGAGGAAGGUGGGGAUGACGUCAAAUCAUCAUGCCCCUUAUGACCUGGGCUACAAACGUACUACAAUGGCCAGACACAAAGAGAAGCGAAGCUGCGAAGUGAAGCGAACCUCAUAAAAAUGGUCUCAGUUCGGAUUGGAGUCUGCAACUCGACUCCAUGAAGUCGGAAUCGCUAGUAAUCGUGAGUCAGCAGAUCACGGUGAAUACGUUCCCGGGUUUUGUACACACCGCCCGU
rnacentral:rRNA from 1 species